UUCAAAAUAUUUAUUCAUUUCCAUUCUAUUCUUUAAGAAUUCUUCACCUAUUGAUCUUUUUUAAAAAUGCAAAAGGAUGCUCUUUAAGUGGAAGGGAACUAGUACCAGAGGGGAAUUUGAAGCUUCUGGGUUGGAAAAAAAUGAAUGAAAAGGACAGAUAUCUGAAUAACAGUUUUUCUCCUCUUAAGUUCUUUAAAAUGCAUAUGGUGGUUGAAAGCAAAAAUUAAUGACUGGUGAUCAUUAAUAUUAAAAACUUUUGCUCUGCAAAAACCUCUGUUAAAAACAUGGAAAGCAAGGUACAGACAAAAAAAUAUAUGCAAAUCACAAUAUCUAACAAAGGAUUUCUGUCUAGGAUAUAUACAAAACAUUAAAAAAAUCAAUAGUGAAAAAUUAAUUCACAAAAUGUGCAAAUUAUUUGAACAGACAUUCCACCAAAGAAAAUAUAUAGAUAGCAAAUAAGCACAUGAAAAGAUGCUCAAUAUCCUUUGCAAUUAGAAAAAUUCAAAAUUAGAUCCCAUAAAAAUACUAUUACACACUGACAGUACCAAGGGCUGGUGAGAAGGCAGACAACUGGAUCUCUCCUGGAUUGCAGGUGGGAAUCCAAAAUAUCAUAGCUGCUAUGGGAAAUGGUUUGGUAAUUUCUGUAAAUUUAAAUAUACAGUUAUAUAUGACCCAAGAAUCUUCUGUAUAUUUCCCUAGGGAAAUAGAAACACAAAACCUGUAUGCUCAUUUUUACAGUAUUUUCCAUUCAUUUCACAGUUUUCCAUUCAUUCAGUGGAAUCCUACUCAGCAAUAACAGGAGCAAAUUAUUGAUAUACACAACAACUGGAUGAAUCCCAAAAGCAGAUGCCAAAAGAAAAAAAUAAGACUAAACAGGGUGAGAGGAUCCUGGGUGCAAGGCUUCCCGGAAGAUCAGGUCUGAAGGAAGAGGCUGAGAAACCAGAGCUGGUUCCCUCCCCACCGUGUGAAGAUGCAGAAGGCAGCUGCCUGCAACCCGGGAAAAGAGCCUCACCAAGAACUGAAUCAACUGGCACUGUGGUCUUGGACUUCCCAGUCAAGAACCAUGAGAA